CAGCCGCCGCGGUAACACCAGCCCCUCGAGUGGUGGGGAUGAUUAUUGGGCCUAAAGCGUCCGUAGCCUGCCGUGUAAGUUUCCCGUUAAAUCCAGCGUCUUAAGCGUUGGACCGCGGGAAAUACUGUACGGCUAGAGAGUGGGAGAGGUCAGCGGUAUUCUGGGGGUAGGGGCGAAAUCCUUUGGUCCCCGGAGGACCACCAGUGGCGAAGGCUGCUGUCUAGAACACGUCUGACGGUCAGGGACGAAAGCUGGGGUAGCGAACCGGAUUAGAUACCCGGGUAGUCCCAGCCGUAAACGAUGCAUGCUAGGUGUUGGGUUGGCUACGCGCCACCCCAGUGCCGCAGGGAAGCCGUUAAGCAUGCCGCCUGGGAAGUACGAUCGCAAGGUUGAAACUUAAAGGAAUUGGCGGGGGAGCAC
rnacentral:rRNA from 2 species